rnacentral:lncRNA from 1 species
CCAUAAGUAGCGUGUGUGCUCUCCGUCCUCUGUCCUUGCCACUCCUGCCUCACUCCCAGCCCUGCAUGACUCACCACUCGCAUCUUUCCAAGACUCCACUGCUGCGGAGGGAUAAUUCCUUACUGGAUCGGAAGAGGAUGUGAGCAAUUAGCUGAGGACCUGGGCUCAGCGUCCAUCCGGGGCUCCGUGGAGGAUUCUGUGUUCUGUAGAGCGGGAUAAUCUGCUUAGAGAUAAUUUAGGAAAACCAAUGGGGAUAAUCUACGGGCCUGAUGUCAUUGCUGCAGGAUGUCCAUCAAAUCCGGAAGUCCUGGUGAGGAUGUCUUCAAUGUGUCAAAAAAUUUGUUUCCUGUAUUUUCUAGUUUUAUGCGGCCCUUUGUUUGCAGCUGGACAAGACAGCAUAGCACGUCACAAAGAGGGACAGAUGACAUGAAGUCCAUAGGACGUGGCCAAGACAGGGAAGCUGCAGAUGGAACAGAUGAAGGAAACAGUUCUGGAGUUUCAGGGUGGCAGCUUUGACCAGAAUCGAGCUUCAGCUGGUAGCUGGGAG